CCUACGGGAGACUGCAGUGAGGAAUAUUGGUCAAUGGACGCAAGUCUGAACCAGCCAUGCCGCGUGCAGGAUGACGGCUCUAUGAGUUGUAAACUGCUGUUGUACGAGGGUAAACCACGAUACGUGUAUCAGGUUGAAAGUAGCGUACGAAUAAGGAUCGGCUAAAUCCGUGCCAGCAGCGGCGGUAAUACGGAGGAGCCGAGCGUUAUCCAGAUUUAUUGGGUGUAAAGGGUGCGUAGGCGGUUUGAUAAGUUAGAUGUGAAAUGCCGGGGCUCAACCCCGAAACUGCCUCUAAUACUGUUGGACUAGAGAAUAGUUGCGGUAGGCGGAAUGUAUGGUGUAGCGGUGAAAUGCUUAGAGAUCAUACAGAACACCGAUUGCGAAGGCAGCUUACCAAACUAUAUCUGACGUUGAGGCACGAAAGCGUGGGUAGCAAACAGGAUUAGAUACCCCUGUAGUC
rnacentral:rRNA from 1 species